AUCUACUCCACUGGUGUUUCCUAUGUGAGCCCAGGUUAUGGACUUCUCGCAGGUGCUUCAGCCUCUGUGUGUAAGACUUCGAUCCCUUAACCUUUGUGACUUGCCUUUCUCUUCAGACUGUAUCAGAAGCGAUAUACAAUGAUACAAGAAAAAAAUUGACUGACUUUUGAGAUGGAAGUAGAAAGAAUCCUGGCCCUGCCAACUGAUGGAGACUUUGAUCAAAUCUCCUUUGAGUAUUCAAAUGUAUCCUUUCCAAUAAGAAAGAGCCUAAGACAGAGCUAGGAGGAAAAUUGAAUGUCUGAAUAAAUUAUUUUAUCAUGCCAAAUUCAAUAGGUCUUCUCAAAAAAAGUGGAGAACAUCCAUGCAUGCAAGAAGUCUUAUAGUAGUUAAAUAUGCCCUCACAUGUCCUUCUUCAAACUUUACUAGCUUUUUUCCCCGAUUAAGCUUUUCAAACAAUGUGUGUCUGUCUUUGACACUCUGAGUUCACCAACAUAACAAAGCUUUGAAUAUUUCAUAACUGAAAACAAAUGACAUGUUGUUAGCUUGAAUAUAAUCAUUAAUUUAUGUGUAUAUUUAACCUUAAGUUUACUGAGAAAGUGGAUUUCUAUAUUUACGUUGUACUGCAAAAGCUUUUCAAAAGCUUUUCUGGAUCAUACAGUAUAGCUAAAAGUGGCCAUGGACCUGCCAUGGGCCCUACUUAGAACGGCAGUUUGAAAACAAUAGUAAAGAAAGAACAAUUUAGAUUUUUAUAGGUAUCAAUUUUAAUAUGUGAUUUCUAAUAUAUUUGAAUCUUUUUAUUUUUAUUACUAUAUUGAAGGAUAUUAUUUGACGGUGGAUUUUACUUUUAUUAUAAGACAUUUAAACACAUUUUUAACAAAUAAACCCACACAGGACACAUGUAUCAUCUCUGCUAUUAGCCUUUCAUCUUACCUUAGAAGUAAAAUUCAGCUGAGAGCAGGAAAGGAAUACUUUGUUAAAAUAAGUUAUAACUGAUAAAGAGUACUUCCAUGCUAUAUACUGCAUUUCAUCUCUUCUCUGAAAAAGUAGCAAUCAUAAGGAUAUGUUUCAUUUGUACUUCCUGAUUUCUGGAGUAAU